GUACAGUGCAGAAGAAGGCACGCUGUGCAACGGAACGGCUGAGCUGGAGAAUUCGCACCGCAGCAGAGACAAGAACAAAAAACUAGUUUCAAAACUUUCAAAUCUUUCGCGUGUAACGGACGUGCCCGUCCGAGUGAUUCGACGAGUGCUUCCGCUGGACUUUGAUUUGUUCUAAAGCGGGACCCCAUUAUCGUACUAUCGUAGGUGACAGCAUAACUGCAGCAUAAACGUUUAAUUAAAUUAGGCUCGCAUCGGCCCGGUGCGUGUACCAGCUUGCGUUGCGUGCGUGUACCACGUGACGCACAUACACGCACAUAUUUUUGUGCAUAUAAUCCCACUAGAUGUGCGUACGUGUUUGUGUUUGUAUAUGUAUCUGUGUGUGUGCAUGUGUCUGUAAGUGUAGCAGUUAUAAGAGCGGGAGUGUUUGUUUAGACGUAGCAAUAGGCAGCAAACAAGCAAACCAAAUCCCCCUGUACAGUGAGUGUCCAACGUUUCGGUGAAAAACGAAAAUCGCUUCCCCUGACUUUGCAGAAAGCCGGCCCCAAGAAACGUGACCCGAAACGUGAUAGGGGCAAAGAGGUGUGUGUAUGUGUGGUGGUUUAUAGAAAAGGUUCGAUGUUUGAUUGAAGUCAAACGAUACACAACCGUGCAACUUGCGGAUAAACAAUAGCUAAGCGCUGGCCAAGUGUUGUAACUAGCUUUAAACAAAGUUUCGAACGUGAGAAAGAGAGAGAAAAAAAGUAAGAAAACAUUAAGUUGCACUGUUGAAAUGUAAAAAACGCACACCGAAAGCAAAACAAAGCACAGAAAUAAGAAAAACGUGUGUAAAACAAAACAAAACAACAAAACAAAAGAAGGGAAGAAGUUGAAAAGAGAAGAAAUAAUAGUAGAAGAAAUUUCCUUCACUAAAGCGUGCCUUGAGUGUUGCAAAUAAAAGCAAAAAAAAAAAGAGAAGAAGAAGUAAAGAGUGCAACAAAAAAUAAAGUGUAACCCGAAAGUGAAAGAAGAGUGUAAGCAGAAGGGAAAGAUAAAAGUUCCAGCAUAAAUUGAAUUCGAUGCAAAGGAAGUGUGUGCGUGAGUUUGAUUUUUUCCUGUUUCGGGGGCGCCACUCGUGUAGCGAUUGUGUAAAAGUAAAAAGUAAGAAAAAAAUCGUAAGAAGGGAGCAAAGAGCAAGCAAGAAAAAAUCUAUCAAGAAAGCAAAGUGUGAGCAAAACCGGGCAGGUGAAAAUUGCGCUCGGUUCGUGUUUCCUUGUGAAGGUUGGUUUUUUUUCGCCUGUGUUCCGGCGUUCUGUGUUUGUGUGUGUGUGGUGCUGUGUGCGAGUCAGCACCAGGAAGAAUUUCCGUGCUGGACCUGCUCCUUCCGUAGCACGUUAUCCUGCGACCGGAGCGGAAAUGGCAUCGAUUCGAGCACAACCACCGCGACCGGUGCGGGCGAUGGCGUUGCUGUUGGUGAUUGCAUCGCUCCUGGCGACCAGUUGCACAGCCGAUGAAGCCGUUACAGGUAGGUGUGCUAUCGUGAUGAAAUAUCUUUUGCUUCGCUGUGAAGGUGACUGAAUCGACAUGAAAAGUUUGCUAAACGACUAGUCACGUGAGUUGGAUGGAUUUGAUUCUUUCAAGGUUUUUUU